rnacentral:rRNA from 1 species
AACGAACGCUGGCGGCAUGCCUAACACAUGCCAGUCGAACGAGACCUUCGGGUCUAGUGGCGCACGGGUGCGUAACGCGUGGGAACCUGCCCUUAGGUUCGGAAUAACUCCCCGAAAGGGGUGCUAAUACCGGAUAAUGUCUUCGGACCAAAGAUUUAUCGCCUUUGGAUGGGCCCGCGUUGGAUUAGCUGGUUGGUAGGGUAAAAGCCUACCAAGGCGACGAUCCAUAGCUGGUCUGAGAGGAUGAUCAGCCACACUGGGACUGAGACACGGCCCAGACUCUUACGGGAGGCAGCAGUGGGGAAUAUUGGAAAAUGGGCGAAAGCCUGAUCCAGCAAUGCCGCGUGAGUGAUGAAGGCCUUAGGGUUGUAAAGCUCUUUUACCCGGGAUGAUAAUGACGGUACCGGGAGAAUAAGCUCCGGCUAACUCCGUG